rnacentral:rRNA from 1 species
AAUAAGCGUACACGGUGGAUGCCUAGGCAGUCAGAGGCGAUGAAGGACGUGCUAAUCUGCGAUAAGCGCCGGUAAGGUGAUAUGAACCGUUAUAACCGGCGAUUUCCGAAUGGGGAAACCCAGUGUGAUCCGUCACACUAUCAUUACCUGAAUACAUAGGGUAAUGAAGCGAACCGGGAGAACUGAAACAUCUAAGUAACCCGAGGAAAAGAAAUCAAACGAGAUUCCCCCAGUAGCGGCGAGCGAACGGGGAGCAGCCCAGGACCUUAAUCAGCAUCAGUGUUAAGAGAACAGUCUGGAAAGGCUGGCCACAGCAGGUGAUAGCCCUGUAUCUGAAAGCACUGGUGUUGUGAGUCCGAUGAGUAAGGCGGGACACGUGUUAUCCUGUCUGAAUACGGGGGGACCAUCCUCCAAGGCUAAAUACUCCUGACUGACCGAUAGUGAACCAGUACCGUGAGGGAAAGGCGAAAAGAACCCCGGCGAGGGGAGUGAAAAAGAACCUGAAACCGUGUACGUACAAGCAGUGGGAGCACCUUUAUGGUGUGACUGCGUACCUUUUGUAUAAUGGGUCAGCGACUUAUAUUCUGUAGCAAGGUUAACCGAAUAGGGGAGCCGCAGGGAAACCGAGUCUUAACUGGGCGAAUUAGUUGCAGGGUAUAGACCCGAAACCCGGUGAUCUAGCCAUGGGCAGGUUGAAGGUUGGGUAACACUAACUGGAGGACCGAACCGACUAAUGUUGAAAAAUUAGCGGAUGACUUGUGGCUGGGGGUGAAAGGCCAAUCAAACCGGGAGAUAGCUGGUUCUCCCCGAAAGCU